AUAUUACAGUUAAUGAAGCCUAAGCCUAUAUUCUAUUUCUAUAACUAUUCUAUAUCUAGUGCUAAUUCAUUUGACUAAUCUGUCUAAUGAACUAGUAACCUAGUUUUAAAACAUUUAUUUGUAGUUAAAUUAGAAUCUAGCUAGAUAUUAUUUGUAUCAUUGUAAGAUAAAACGAAUAUAGAUCGAUAAUUUUUAUGACUCUAUAUAUAAUCAUAACAUAUAAUACAGUUAAUGGAGCCUAAUUUUAAGCCUAUACCUAUAAGUAUACCUAGAAUUAGAAUCUAGGUAUAUAAAAAUUAUUAUAGAUGUAUUGUAUACAUUGAUUGACUCAAGUCUUUUAUCAAUCUCAUUAUAAAUAUAAUUAUUUAUUAGAUCUAGACUAGUCACUAGGUCUAUAUUACAUUGUUUUAUUUAUAUUAAUUAUAUUCUUAUUUAAACUUAUGACAUAAACU